rnacentral:rRNA from 1 species
AACGAACGCUGGCGGCAGGCCUAACACAUGCAAGUCGAGCGCCCCGCAAGGGGAGCGGCGGACGGGUGAGUAACGCGUGGGAACGUGCCCUUUGCUACGGAAUAGCCUCGGGAAACUGGGAGUAAUACCGUAUGUGCCCUUCGGGGGAAAGAUUUAUCGGCAAAGGAUCGGCCCGCGUUGGAUUAGGUAGUUGGUGGGGUAAUGGCCUACCAAGCCGACGAUCCAUAGCUGGUUUGAGAGGAUGAUCAGCCACACUGGGACUGAGACACGGCCCAGACUCCUACGGGAGGCAGCAGUGGGGAAUCUUAGACAAUGGGCGCAAGCCUGAUCUAGCCAUGCCGCGUGAGCGAUGAAGGCCUUAGGGUUGUAAAGCUCCUUCAGUGGGGAAGAUAAUGACUGUACCCACAGAAGAAGCCCCGGCUAACUCCGUGCCAGCCGCCGCCGUAACAC